GGGUGUUAGGAGGUUAAAGGAUAUACAGUUCUAAAAAAAAAAAAAAGAAUCGGUUAACCAACUAAUCAAGUAGCAGGUCAUGGUAAAUUGUGUGUCAGCCAUUUUUAAUUUUGCUAAGACAACAAAAGCACUUGAACCCACCACACUUAUAAUUUUGAAUUCACAAGUGGAAAAGGUUCAUCUUCCCAACAGCACCUGAAGGCAGCAUAAAUCCCAGAAUUCAACCUAUCUGAGCACAGCUUGAGUCGACAACUUCAGGAUCAAGUAGUUAUUUUAAGUAAAAAUCUGAAUGACUGAAUAGUCAUUUAACUGUAAUAUCCUGCAGAUAUUCAGCUCAAAUGUAAAAAAAAUAAAAUAAAUAAAACAAAUUCAGUCAACAGUCGUGGUCAUUCAGUCAUGUUUUUCCUACUUGUUGCAACUUCAAUCUGCUCUUUAUUGUAAAAAAUGCUACAUGAAAAAAAUUCAGUCAUCGAACAAAUACUGUUGAAUUAAAAUCUCUUUCAUAACAUAAUCUUCACUGAGAGAAAAUAGAUAUUUGUGUAAAUAAAGUCAGUGUCUGAUGGGUUAAACUGAGUAUCUGUGGAUGUCAGACCAUCGACCAUUGAUGUGAGCGUCGCCUUUAAAAUCUGGAUUUAAGGUCAUUUUAGAGGCAGAAUAACUCACCCUAUGUCACCUCUGAAUUUAACCACAUCAGAUAUUUGUCAUGUUUUCAGAUGUAAAAUAAUGUGAAAUGCUUUAGAAAGAAUCAUUUAUCAUUAGACCAGUUUUAAUUUUCUACAGGAAUUCAAUGUAAUCGUUCAUUACAUAAGCUUCUGUUUUUCUGUUUUUCAAUAUGAACAGUUUCUAAAUUCAACUUCAGAUCUUAAAUUCAGUGCUGUCAAAUGAUUAAAAAUCAAAUAAAUAACAAAUAACCGACUGGUUUCUGCAACUUUCACUCAAAGGCCAAAUCGACUGUAAACCUGAAAAGACUCAUGAUUUUGACGUUUAUCGUGAUCAUAUUUUCUGCCAUUUCAGUUUUAUUUGUGAAAGUAUGAAGUGAAGCUGGUAUUUAAUAACAAAGCAGUGACAUUUUCUAAUAAAAACCCGUCUCUCUCUUUCGUUGAGAUAAAUAAAGGCCUUGCGCACUAUUUGAGAAUUUACGGUGUUUUAUUUAAACAUCAUGCUCAACAGAAUACAGACAAAAUGCAUCUGCACAGAGUAGCUGAAUUAUUUUCCUCCGUUCAGUGAACCUUCAUAACUGAGGAAACAGAUUUUAAAAGCGUCACACUUCACAAAGAAAAAAAAAUAAAAUAAAAUAAAAUUUAAAAUCAGACCCCGGCAAUCUGAUCGCCCCUUAGAAAAAACAAAACAAACCCAAGCACCAAUAUUUAUACACGACCGACACUCGACAUCAGCGCAGGAGAAACUGUUACAAAAGAGUCUGAUCAUUCACAUUUGCAUAAAGUUUUAUAUUGGUCCAUCCGUCGUUGCAGCGCUCCAAGCUGCAGGUUCAUCAUUUUAUUUAAUUUUUUUUGUUUUUCUUUAUUACGUAAUGAAUGAAAAAAAGACAAAAACGGUGAAACUAGUAACAUGCAUGUAGCCUUAAAGAUGAGAACAGAAAGAGAGAAACAGGCACUGACCACCAACUACAGCAUAAGCAGUGAAAGAGUCUCAGAACUAGUCACUUCAGGUCGAAAGGAAAGAGUUCGAGUGUACAUCACUAGAAAAAAAAUGACACCGACGACGCUCGGGAAAAUAUACAGAAUCUUUUUUUUACCAGGUGAGAGGGCGGAGGAGGAGGAGGAGGAGAGGAAGAGGAGGAGGAAGAGGAGGAGGAGGACUCACCGGAGUGAUUAUUUUUUUUGGCAAUAUUACAAUAAUUUGGGUUGAAAAUCGUCAAAGUGUGCAAAAAACGUGAAAAAAUGUCAGCUCAUGGAACCUCUCUAUGAUCCAGCUCAGGAAAGACACAUAACCCCAAUUUAGAACAAAUUAAAAACUAGUUUUAAUAAAAAACAACCCAAAUAUGUGCAUAAUAAUAUUAAUUAGAAUAAUAAUAUAUGGAAGAUUUGUUCGGUCGGCGUCCUCUAAGGCCGACUUUGUAACCCUGUUCCCAAUAAGUGACAUAAGGACAGUAAGAUUUUAGGUAGAAAGGAUAAAAGGUGCUUCCACCGCAACAUUUAAUGAAAAAAAAACAAAAAACAAAACUAAUGUACAUUAACGUCUGUGAGUCAUGGCGUUCACAACUUAAUAUCUUACGCAGUUUUUUGUCCUUUUUAAGUGUUUUUUCUCUAUGAAAGCAGAGUUAGUUUAAUGCAGCCAAACCAUGUGUGUAAGAUCGACGGUGUGUUUGUACUCGUUGCAUUUACAGUAAGAAAAGGUGAUUCUUUUAAAAAAUUCAGGUAAUAAAAUGUAUUCAGUUAAUGCUCAUCUGUUACUACACACUUAAAUAACACAUUCUCUGACACGAGAUCAAAAUUAGCACUUCAGUAAAGAAAAAAAAAA